AGGAAAUCAGGGGAGCCUGCUUGCACCUGGCAAGGGCUUGAGAAACCUCGCGCUUGUCAGUCACCCAAACUCCAGGGGGAAAUUCAGCAGGGGAAGCCCCAACUUGAGCAGGACGUUUCCUCGGGGGCCCACCCGGAUGAAAAAGCACGCGUGUCCCUCUUGGGGUAGGGGCCCCCUCGACCUCGGAGGGCCAGCUCAGGACCCGCGUGGACUUGGAGGAAACCGCAGGGCUGGCCAUUCGGUCAGGUGCCCUUGGCCUACAUACACCGUAAGGAAGUCCCCAGUCUCAACACCUGCUGUCACUGAAUCCCCCUUGGUGACAUCCUGUCUCCAUGAAACUCGGGUUUUGGUAGCUGCUGUGUGCCAAGCGGUUCCUGGGGGGGAAGCGGUGUGGGCCGGCAGUGAGCUGUUGGGGGCAGCGUGAUUCCGGGUCAGGAAGCUGUGGAGAGGGGAACCUGCACAGCGGGGUCCUAAUUCGCCACGGUGGCUGCUCAGAGCAUGAAGCAUAAAGAAUUAUUUUUUUCAUUCAAUUCAUGUAAUUUUUAAAAACCGGCUGCUAAGUUAUUAGGAUUUUAGCAUUUCUUGUUACAUAGCUACUUAACAAACAGAACUGAUAGCUAUUUCUUUCGGCCUGGGGCAUUGUAAAAAAUGACUGGAAUACUGAGGAUUUGGUAAAAACGCGUAUGAUUCAAGUUGGCAUUGAAUUUGUAGCUUCUGGGCUGAUUUAUGCUCAUCUCUUUUUGCUGAUAUUAUGUCAAUGCAACGGCAUCAUUUAAUUUGAGCUGCGACUUUACAUAAAUCUUAUUUCUCUGCAAAUGGUUACUACAGGUGAUGUAUUCAUUUGGAUAAUAAAGUAUUAGUUUAAUUAUUUUAAGAAUUGCGUGUAAUUUCCCUUAGCGAGUGGCUAAUUUAUCUUGUUAUCCAAAUUGUCCAUUUUUUAAAGGUAAGAAUAUAUUUCUAGCAGUAUUCUCAGUUUGAAAGACUGAAAUAAACACUUCGUCUUUUUUUUAAUGAGGAGAAAGGUUUUACAUUAAUAUCUCACUUGGAUUAGCACAACCGAAUUUACAUUCAUGCAACUCAGAGAAAAUUCGAGAUGGUAAGCUGCCAGGAUGUACACUCACAUGC
rnacentral:lncRNA from 1 species